AUCGCCCCCACCCGUUCUCCCUCGGCGCAUGCUAGGGUUGAUGCCGCCACUGCCUCGCCCCAUCGGCCCAUGGCCAGGUCCUCCGACGUCGGCCACCGGAGAAGGAAGCAAACUCGACAUCCAAUCGUCCAGACCUUCUCUCGACCCAGGCAAGUCGCUUCCUUUAUUCCCCUUCCCUCACCCCCCGACCCCUCUCUGCCGCCUCGUGUCCUACCCCUUUCUCUUCUCAAUCUGAAUCCAUGGAGAUAGCCGGCAGGGAGGACGAGUAUGUGUUGGAGGGCGCUGCCGGCGGCGCCAAAAGUAGCUCAACAAGAACCAUCGUCACGCGGAGGCAAGACACUAUCGACACGGAUCCGCUUCGUCUGCGCCGGCAAGGGCCAACCGUUCCAGAUCCGACCAGGGCCAGUUGCUGCUUGUUAUAAACCAGAGCAUUGAUGUCUGCUUCCAGCUGCUGGGCCAUGGGCUCCUCCAUCUGCUCCGCAAGCUCAUGAUCCGCGAGUUCCUUCUGAAGCUGCGUGAGAGAAACAGAAAUGUAACAUUCACAAUGCAGUGAUUGUUCCUGGUUCUAGAAAAUAUUGCAAGGAAUUUUUGCUACGUAUGAACCAAGAAAUGCGGCAUUUAGAUAUAUUUUGUAUGCUCCCCACCUGGGUUGAACGGAUGCAUCCACCUGUUGUUAUGGUAGUCGAAUCCCUCCAAUUAUAUCAAGAAAUAUAGUUCUUCGUUUAUCUGAUAGGGAUCCUAAUUGUAGCACCCUAGCCUGGACUUCUCAAGGGUGAACAUACUGAUGGAUGGAAACCAACCUAAUGAUUGAUGGUGUUAUCAUCAGGAGGCAGUGGACUAGCGGUGGCGUGAUUCAAAACUAUUGCUGAUUCUGCAUUUGAGGAUUUCAUGAAGCCAAGCGAUCCUCUUGUGCUCUGAGGAGCUCUGAUGUAUACAGGCAUCUGGGAGGGAGGGGUCAAGAUUUUCUCACCCCUUUCUGGCCAAUGUGCUCGGCCAUCUGGCCGCUGGCGAUGGCCCCAACCAUGGCGCUGACUUGGACAGCGAGCUGAACUGACGUGCAGGCACGAAGUUACUCAACAUCUUUAGUCCAAGAAGAAGUCGAAACAGAGCAAGCAUAUAGGCUCCAGGCACUACCUUCUCAUAGUUUUCAAUUUUUUUAUAAAUUACUUUCAGUUCAAUCUGCUUCUCAUGAUUUCCGCAAUCUUCAAAUUCAACUUGUGUUAGAGGCUUCAGUUCUUACAGCAUAUGAUACUUGCUUGAUCAUCAUGUACAUUGUAUAAACAUAAAGUGAUGCACUGAAUGCACUAUGCUCUUGUCCAUUGUUAUUGUGUUUAUUUCCUAUCAGUUAAGAUAAAUAUAUAACUCUCAAAGUUUUAACUAUGGGUGUUGGAGGAGAUAGAUCGGGCAGAACUACAACCUGAGGUUGUGCAGGUUUACGGAUACGUCUUGCCAAGGUUAUAUUAUUUUAGGUUUUGACGAAUAAAAAAAAUAUAUAGUAGGUAAAUAAAGCUCAGUUCGCCACUCAAAUAAUUAUGAAUACCAAUGCAGUAAAGGUAUGAUGUACGCUUUCAAAUAACAUUUUAUAGUUCUUUGGUAACAUCACUGAAAACUAUUGAAUUGUGUUCUCUAAUUUAUUAUAGUUAGCUUUCUUUCAGAUUAGGUGUUAAUAGAAAACAUACCCAUGCAUUAAUGGAUUCACAUUUGAAGGGAAACUGCUGAAAAUGAAAGGCGACAUAUUUGAUAGUUUUUUCUCUCAUUAUUCACAAUCCGAACUAGGUUUGGAAGACAAAAUCUGGAGCCUUACUUUGAAUGUCCAAGGAGGUGGAAGCACCAACAAUGCCCUCAACAGAGCUGCUCGAUCAAUUGGAUCUGAAUCCAAGGAUGACAUCCAACAAAAGGUACCCAAUUUCCUUUAUUGCUUUAACCAUACUAGAGUAGCUGUAUAUGGUGCACUUGGCAGGGAUAUUAUCAAGGAAUUCCAAGAUGAUGGCUGCAUUUUGCACUGAAAUUGGGAGGUGAGGCUCAAAAAGAUACAGCGGUUACCGGCGGCGGCGACAGCGAAGACUAGCCCGGGAUCUGGGACAGUGGAUGCAUUGAGCACGAGGUGAAGAUAAGCCACUCCAUCCAUGGUUACUAUUUUGUUCAUUCUUUUUUUGGAGAUGAUUUCAGUACUCUAUCAAUGUGAUGUUAGAGCCAAGAUGCAUGUGUCACUUGUUUCAUCAAGUGUGUAAUGAACUUUAAAUUUUGUUUCAUCAAGUGGU